AGUGAACGCUGGCGGUAGGCCUAACACAUGCAGGUCGAACGGCAGCACAGUAAGAGCUUGCUCUUACGGGUGGCGAGUGGCGGACGGGUGAGGAAUACAUCGGAAUCUACUUUUUCGUGGGGGAUAACGUAGGGAAACUUACGCUAAUACCGCAUACGACCUACGGGUGAAAGCAGGGGAUCUUCGGACCUUGCGCGAUUGAAUAAGCCGAUGUCGGAUUAGCUAGUUGGCGGGGUAAAGGCCCACCAAGGCGACGAUCCGUAGCUGGUCUGAGAGGAUGAUCAGCCACACUGGAACUGAGACACGGUCCAGACUCCUACGGGAGGCAGCAGUGGGGAAUAUUGGACAAUGGGCGCAAGCCUGAUCCAGCCAUACCGCGUGGGUGAAGAAGGCCUUCGGGUUGUAAAGCCCUUUUGUUGGGAAAGAAAAGCAGCAGGUUAAUACCCCGCUGUUCUGACGGUACCCAAAGAAUAAGCACCGGCUAACUUCGUG
rnacentral:rRNA from 1 species